AUUGAACGCUGGCGGCAGGCCUAACACAUGCAAGUCGAGCGGAUGAAGGGAGCUUGCUCCUGGAUUCAGCGGCGGACGGGUGAGUAAUGCCUAGGAAUCUGCCUGGUAGUGGGGGAUAACGUCCGGAAACGGGCGCUAAUACCGCAUACGUCCUGAGGGAGACAGUGGGGGAUCUUCGGACCUCACGCUAUCAGAUGAGCCUAGGUCGGAUUAGCUAGUUGGUGGGGUAAAGGCCUACCAAGGCGACGAUCCGUAACUGGUCUGAGAGGAUGAUCAGUCACACUGGAACUGAGACACGGUCCAGACUCCUACGGGAGGCAGCAGUGGGGAAUAUUGGACAAUGGGCGAAAGCCUGAUCCAGCCAUGCCGCGUGUGUGAAGAAGGUCUUCGGAUUGUAAAGCUCUUUAAGUUGGGAGGAAGGGCAGUAAGUUAAUACCGUGCUGUUUUGACGUUACCAACAGAAUAAGCACCGGCUAACUUCGUG
rnacentral:rRNA from 1 species